UCAACAUUUUGGAACAAUUCGAGGAGACCUUCUUCUUCGUCUUCUUCCUCUUUCUCUCCCUGUCGCCCACGUGAACAGAUCAAACUCAGACAUGUUUUGAGGAUGCCAUAUAUGUGAUCACUCUUCAUAUAUCUGACUCAGAAGUGAUCAUCAGUCAGAACUACAUAUAUAUAGGCAUCACAGAGAAGGGUAAGGGAAAUUAAAGCAUGACGAAGAAGGAUAAUGAGAUAUACCUGAAACUCUUCUGGGGUCGUUCUUCUUCCUCCUCCAAUCCUCAGAGGCUGCGGUGGCUGUACCAGUGGUGGCUGAAGAAGACGCCGGCAUCGGCUGCUGCCACCGCCAUAGCCGUCGUCCUCUUUUGCUUCGUAGCCACUCUAUCUUCUUUUGCCGGCAGGUUUGACGUGCGCGUGUCAAUAUUUGCAGGUGCUUCCGUGACAAGACAUCCAAAGCUUCCCCCACCAAUCAAGCAAGAAUUCCCUCUCCUAUGUGCCCAGCAAAACGUCACGCAAACAUGCCCCCGAGACUACUAUCCCGCGAGGCACAAUCCUGGCCGUCCAUCGAACCACACGUGUCCCUCCUACUUCAGAUUCAUCCACGAAGAUCUACGGCCCUGGAGAAAGACGGGGAUCACGAGGGACAUGUUGGAGGCGGCGAGAAGGACGGCCCAUUUUAGGGUGGUGAUCCUCGAGGGCAGGGUGUACGUGGCCAAGUUUAGGAAGUCAAUACAGACCAGAGAUCUGUUUACCCUGUGGGGCAUAUUGCAGCUCAUGAGAUCUUACCCUUCCAAAUUGCCUGAUUUGGAGAUCAUGUUUGACUGUGAUGAUAGGCCCGUUGUAGCUUCUAAACAUCACCGUGGACCACAGGCGAGUCCGCCACCCUUGUUUCGAUAUUGCUCCGACGAUUGGAGCUUAGACAUCGUCUUUCCUGAUUGGUCCUUCUGGGGAUGGGCUGAGACCAAUAUCAAGCCUUGGAAAGAUACUUUGGGGGAUAUAAAAGAAGGGAACAAGAGGAUCAAGUGGGAAGACAGGGUGCCUUACGCCUUUUGGAGGGGAAACCCCCACGUGGCUCCUACCAGGAGGGACCUUAUGAAGUGUAAUGUUUCAAAAGAACAUGAUUGGGACACUCGUCUCUACGUUCAGGACUGGAUACAAGAAUCCAAACAAGGGUACAAGGGCUCAAAGUUGGAAGACCAAUGCACCCAUAGGUAUAAGAUAUACAUAGAAGGAUGGGCAUGGUCAGUAAGUGAGAAAUACAUACUAGCAUGUGAUGCUAUGACACUGUAUGUAAAGCCAAAAUUCUAUGACUUCUUCGUCAGAGGCAUGAUGCCUUUACAACACUAUUGGCCCAUCAGUGACACUUCCAAGUGCACCUCUCUCAAGUUUGCUGUUGAAUGGGGCAACAAUCACACUCAUCAGGCUAAAGCAAUAGGAGAAGCUGCUAGCAAAUUCAUACAUGAGGACUUGAAAAUAGACUAUGUGUAUGACUACAUGUUUCAUCUUCUGAAUGAAUAUGCAAAGCUGUUAAGGUUCAAGCCAACAGUGCCUCCAACAGCCACGGAGCUCUGUGCUGAAACAAUGGCGUGUGGUGCUCAAGGGAACUGGAGGAAGUUUAUGGAGGAGUCGCUCGUCAAAUUUCCCAGUGAUUCAGUCCCAUGCUCACUUCCUCCUGAUGAUGUUUCCAUCCUCAGAAAUUUUCGAGACAGAAAAGCUAAUGCAACCAGACAAGCACAGAUAUGGGAAAAUGAAUAUUGGCAGAGUCAAAUCCGAGCAAGGGGCAAUAGAACAGAGUAGAAUAGGCUAGUUGAUCUGCUGACAUGGAGGAAAUUCUGCAGAGUUCAUGUCUCCAUGGAUUUACUUUGUCAUAAAUUGUUAUAUUGACAGACACAGAUGCUGCUUCCAUCUCUCGACAAAGGCAAACUCAAUCCCUUAAAUGUCUGGGGACGAGUAGAUUUGCUUCAAAGAGGACUCUUUGGAACUCACUGCAAAGGAGGAGCUAAUGAUACUGUGGAUGGGAAGGGAUAAGGAUUUUGUUAAAUUAAUUAACCAAACUAGUUAGAGAAAAACUGAGAUGUGAGAGUUCAAUAUUACUUUUGUCUUAAUCAAAUAAGUUAGUAAUUUCUUUUUAAUAAUAUUCCUGAACUUUUGUUCCAAGACACCCAAUAUUCUUGAGUGAAGGCAAACAUAUUCAUAAAGUUAAUUAGCUGGGUGCAAAAAUAUCCAAACCAGUAAAUAGAUCUGAUGUUGACCGUUUAAUUGAUAAGUAUACAAAUAGUUGACUAAUUUUGUUGAUGUGGAGUGAACAAGCUGUACUUGCUGGCGUUUAUUUUGCUGAGUCACUUUCUGAAGAACAAAGUCUUCGGCUUGAUCAUCAUGCUUCGCGCUUCUUCUUCUUCGUCGAGUAAAAUUCCAGGUAUACAUCACGCUUCGCCAACUCAAGAACCUGAAUUCCGGAUACACACCAUCAGGCCGAAUCUAGUAAAAUUCAAAUUCAUAUUUAAAAUUCAAAUUUAUAUUUAAAAUUUCAGAUUGUGAGUUCCAGAUUGGAGGAGAAGCCGGUGGCGGUGGCACAUGCCACAGCCGAAUGUGAGUCAUUGUCCGUAGCACUGCGUGUGAGAGAGAGGGGCAAAGAUGGUAUAUGAGGGCACACGUGGCGACACGAAGCAAAACGGUGGAAGACGUUGGGCCUCAUUAAUUAUUUUGGGACGAAUGCACGCACCCUUUCAAAUGGCUUUGUAAAUAUUUUUGUAUCUUCCUUUACUUUAGUGCUCCUGAUAAAAA